rnacentral:rRNA from 1 species
UACGUAGGGUGCAAGCGUUGUUCGGAAUCACUGGGCGUAAAGGGAGCGUAGGCGGGUUUCUAAGUCAGGUGUUUAAUCCCGGGGCCCAACCCCGGACAGGCACUUGAAACUGGGAAUCUUGAAUAGGGGAGAGGUCGGUGGAAUUGGAGGUGUAGCGGUGGAAUGCGUAGAGAUCUCCAAGAACACCAGUUGCGAAGGCGGCCGACUGGACCCAUAUUGACGCUGAGGCUCGAAAGCAUGGGGAGCAAACAGG